AAACGAUACUCGUUAGGUUUGGCCCACGGUGCGGCCGUGGUCGGUGCCGUAGGGAAGCCGUGAAGCGAGCCACCUGGGAAAGUACGGCCGCAAGGCUGAAACUUAAAGGAAUUGGCGGGGGAGCACUACAACGGGUGGAGCCUGCGGUUUAAUUGGAUUCAACGCCGGAAAUCUCACCGGGGGCGACAGCAUGAUGAAGGCCAGGCUGAAGACCUUGCCUGAUCCGCUGAGAGGUGGUGCAUGGCCGUCGUCAGUUCGUACUGUGAAGCAUCCUGUUAAGUCAGGCGACGAGCGAGACCCACGCCCACAGUUGCCAGCGAGCCCUUCGGGGUGGCGGGUACUCUGUGGGGACCGCCGCUGCUAAAGCGGAGGAAGGAAUGGGCAACGGUAGGUCAGUAUGCCCCGAAUCUCCCGGGCUACACGCGGGCUACAAUGGUCGGUACAAUGGGUAUCUACCCCGAGAGGGGAUGGAAAUCUCCUAAAACCGGUCGUAGUUCGGAUUGAGGGCUGCAACUCGCCCUCAUGAAGCUGGAAUCCGUAGUAAUCGCGUUUCAACAGAACGCGGUGAAUACGUCCCUGCCCCUUGCACACACCGCCCGUCAAACCACCCGAGUAGGGUCUGGAUAAGGGUGCGCCAUGUUGACGCAUUCGAAUCUGGGCUUUGCAAGGGGGGUUAAGUCGUAACAAGGUAACCAAGGGCGAAU
rnacentral:rRNA from 1 species